rnacentral:miRNA from 1 species
CGAGGACUUAGAUUUUACGG